rnacentral:rRNA from 1 species
GCCAGACUCCUACGGGAGGCAGCAGUGGGGGAUAUUGCACAAUGGGGGGAACCCUGAUGCAGCGACGCCGCGUGGGUGAAGGAGCGUUUCGGCGCGUAAAGCCCUAUCGGCAGGGAAGAAGGAGGACGGUACCUUACUAAGAAGCCCCGGCUAACUACGUGCCAGCAGCCGCGGUAAUACGUAGGGGGCAAGCGUUAUCCGGAUUUACUGGGUGUAAAGGGGGCGCAGACGGCAGCGCAAGCCAGGAGUGAAAGCCCGGGGCCCAACCCCGGGACUGCUCUUGGAACUGCGCGGCUGGAGUGCAGGAGGGGCAGGCGGAAUUCCUGGUGUAGCGGUGAAAUGCGUAGAUAUCAGGAGGAACACCGGUGGCGAAGGCGGCCUGCUGGACUGCGACUGACGUUGAGGCCCGAAAGCGUGGGGAGCAAACAGGAUUAGAUACCCCUGUAG